GCCUGCUGCAAAUAUGCUGCAUGGGAGGUUUAGAAUGGGACGGUAGCAUCAGACCCAGCUUCUGCAGAGUCUCAAGGCUGCUUGAUCCAGUUCCUCCAUCUUUGCAGAUGAGGAUGUGACCUCUCAGCUUCCCGCUCCAACCACCAAGCUUGCUAGCAGCUAUGUUUUCCUUCCAUGAUGGACUCUUAUCCCUUUGGAACUCACUAUGUAGACCAGGAUGGCCUCAAACUCCCAGAGAUUUGUGCUUAUACCUCUGCCUCCUGAGGGUGGGGAUUAAAGAUUACAGAUGUUCUCACCUCUGGCCAGAAAAGCUUCUCUCUGCAGUGAAUGGCAGUCAGUGAAGAAACUCAUAGCUGGUCAUGUGACUGUUGAGUGCUGAGCUCUAAAUAGGAAAUGUAUAUCAUUCCCCAUCCCAACGUUUAGUGGACAUCAUGGAAGACAGGGCAGAUAAAAUGUCACAGCCACAUGAGACAUGCUGUGGAAUUCUGUCUUCUGGAUAGGACGUGGCCGCUGUGCUAAUGGACUGACUGAGGCUAUGUUUACCUGUCUACGAUCAAGCCAGGAAGAUUAAUCAAACAUUACAUUCCUCUGCACUCAGUGGGUUACAGACACCAUAAAAAGACAUUAAGGUGGGAGGGACAGCAGUGUGAAAUAUUGCAUAAAAUGAUCAAGAUACAUGGUAUUCUUGUAUGGAUUUGCCAAAAAAUAAGAAAAAGAUGCUCUGCAAAAGACUCCUUGUUUAGAGAAAUGGCUCAGUGGAUAAGAGCCUUUGCUACAUUUGCAAAGGACCUGGGGUCAAUUUCCAGCACUUAUGUGGCAAAUCACACC